GACGAACGCUGGCGGCGUGCUUAACACAUGCAAGUCGAACGGAAAGACCCGGCUUUUGCGGGGUUCUCGAUUGGCGAACGGGUGAGUAACACGUGUGUAACCUGCCCUUGUCUUUGGGAGAACUUCUGGAAAAUGGGGCGAAUAUCGGGUAGGAGCUCCUGCUGCAUGGUGGUGAUUGGAAGGUUUCGGCGGUUGGGGAUGGACUAGCUGGUUAUCCGCUUGUUGGUGGGGUAGUGGCUUACCAAGGCUUUGAAGGGUACGCGGCCUGGGCGGGUGACAGGCCACCUUGGGACUGAGGUGCGGCCCAGACUCCUACGGGAGGCAGCAGUGGGGAAUCUUGCCCAAUGGGCGGCAGCCUGAUGAAGCAACGCCGCGUGUGGGAUGACGGCCUUCUGGUUGUAAACCGCUUUCGCCUGUGACGAAGCGUGAGUGACGGUAAUGGGUACAGAAGCCCCGGCUAACUACGUG
rnacentral:rRNA from 1 species